GUUUCAGCCGCCACCAAUGAUUGAUGUAGCUUACCCUUUGCCAAAUUGAUGAGAUGAUGGCACUCCUCUUCAGACAAAAAUCCCUUGUAUAAGAAAGCCCUGGGUUUGGAUGAAAGCUUAAUUACACGGGUGGGAUCGAUUGUAAUGGCGGAACCACCCGUUUUCAUCCCAAUAACAGAUUGUUCCAUGUUCUUGUUGUCUAAGAGCAAUUUCGGCAAGC
rnacentral:misc_RNA from 1 species